GCGAAUCGCCCUUGGGGGUGCCCGAGGAUUCGAAUACUUUACAAUGCUGGCAACAGCAAUUAGGGGACCUUGAGUGCCAGGAUACAAUCCUGGCUGUCAUGAUGCCUAAAAAUGAUUAUAUACCUAGGGCCGGGCAAUACCGGUGCCAACCGCCCCGGUAACACCGGCGGCUCGAGUGGUAACCUCUAUUAUUGGGUCUAAAGGGUCUGUACCCGGCUAGGUUAUUCUCUUGGGAAAUCCGGCAGCUUAACUGUCAGGCUUUCCCGACAUACUGACUAGCUCCAAACCGUGAGAGGUGAGAGGUACUUCAUGGCUAGGGGAGAAAUCUUGUAAUCCUUGAUGGACCUCCAGAGACAAAUGCGUCUCACCAUAACGAAUCUUACGACUCAGGGAUAAAAGCUACGGGCUCGAACCGGAUUAUAUACCCGGGUAGUCGUAACCGUAAUUGAUACUCCCUAGGUGUCAGCCACUUUGUAACCGUGGUCACGUGCCCUACGGAAGCACGAGAACUCAACCUUCUGGUAAUUACAGUCGCUGCAUUGAAAAUUUUUCGACUUGGCUGGCGACCA
rnacentral:rRNA from 1 species